UAUAAUCGUUUUAAUCGAUGGGGGGACGCAGUAGGAUAGGCGAAGCGUGCGAUUGGAUUGCACGUCUAAGCAGUAAGGCUGAGUAUUAGGCAAAUCCGGUACUCGUUAAGGCUGAGCUGUGAUGGGGAGAAGACAUUGUGUCUUCGAGUCGUUGAUUUCACACUGCCGAGAAAAGCCUCUAGAUAGAAAAUAGGUGCCCGUACCGCAAACCGACACAGGUAGUCAAGAUGAGAAUUCUAAGGUGAGCGAGCGAACUCUCGUUAAGGAACUCGGCAAAAUGACCCCGUAACUUCGGGAGAAGGGGUGCUCUUUAGGGUUAACGCCCAGAAGAGCCGCAGUGAAUAGGCCCAAGCGACUGUUUAUCAAAAACACAGGUCUCUGCUAAACCGUAAGGUGAUGUAUAGGGGCUGACGCCUGCCCGGUGCUGGAAGGUUAAGAGGAGUGGUUAGCUUCUGCGAAGCUACGAAUCGAAGCCCCAGUAAACGGCGGCCGUAACUAUAACGGUCCUAAGGUAGCGAAAUUCCUUGUCGGGUAAGUUCCGACCCGCACGAAAGGCGUAACGAUUUGGGCACUGUCUCAACGAGAGACUCGGUGAAAUCAUAGUACCUGUGAAGAUGCAGGUUACCCGCGACAGGACGGAAAGACCCCGUGGAGCUUUACUGUAGCCUGAUAUUGAAAUUCGGCACAGCUUGUACAGGAUAGGUAGGAGCCUUUGAAACGUGAGCGCUAGCUUACGUGGAGGCGCUGGUGGGAUACUACCCUAGCUGUGUUGGCUUUCUAACCCGCACCACUUAUCGUGGUGGGAGACAGUGUCAGGCGGGCAGUUUGACUGGGGCGGUCGCCUCCUAAAAGGUAACGGAGGCGCUCAAAGGUUCCCUCAGAAUGGUUGGAAAUCAUUCAUAGAGUGUAAAGGCAUAAGGGAGCUUGACUGCGAGACCUACAAGUCGAGCAGGGUCGAAAGACGGACUUAGUGAUCCGGUGGUUCCGCAUGGAAGGGCCAUCGCUCAACGGAUAAAAGCUACCCCGGGGAUAACAGGCUUAUCUCCCCCAAGAGUUCACAUCGACGGGGAGGUUUGGCACCUCGAUGUCGGCUCAUCGCAUCCUGGGGCUGUAGUCGGUCCCAAGGGUUGGGCUGUUCGCCCAUUAAAGCGGUACGCGAGCUGGGUUCAGAACGUCGUGAGACAGUUCGGUCCCUAUCCGUCGUGGGCGUAGGAAAUUUGAGAGGAGCUGUCCUUAGUACGAGAGGACCGGGAUGGACAUACCUCUGGUGUACCAGUUGUCGUGCCAACGGCAUAGCUGGGUAGCUAUGUGUGGACGGGAUAAGUGCUGAAAGCAUCUAAGCAUGAAGCCCCCCUCAAGAUGAGAUUUCCCAACUUCGGUUAUAAGAUCCCUCAAAGAUGAUGAGGUUAAUAGGUUCGAGGUGGAAGCAUGGUGACAUGUGGAGCUGACGAAUACUAAUCGAUCGAAGACUUAAUCAA
rnacentral:rRNA from 1 species